rnacentral:rRNA from 1 species
AGCGAACGCUGGCGGCAGGCUUAACACAUGCAAGUCGAGCGGACCUACCGGGGUCAGCGGCGCACGGGUGAGUAACGCGUGGGAACGUUCCUUCCUGCUCGGGAUACUCCUGGGACACUAGGGCUAAUACCGGAUACGUCCCGCUGGUGAAAGGUUUACUGCCCGAGGAUCGGCGGGCGUCUUUCUAGCCAGUUGGUGGGGUAACGGCCUAUCACGGCGUGGAUCAGUAGCGGGGCUGAGAGGCAGGGCAGCCACACUGCGACUGGGACACGGCCCAGAAUACUACGCGAGGGAGGAGAGGGGGAUAUAGGCAAACGGGCGCAAGGAUGAUGCAGCCAGGGCGGGAGAGUGAUGUAGUCGGGAGAGUAGUACAGCUCGUUUAUCCGGCACGGUAAUGACGGUACCGGAGGAAUAAGCCCCGGCUAACUUCGUG